CGGACGGGUGAGUAAUGUCUGGGAAACUGCCUGAUGGAGGGGGAUAACUACUGGAAACGGUAGCUAAUACCGCAUAACGUCACAAGACCAAAGAGGGGGACCUUAGGGCCUCUUGCCAUCGGAUGUGCCCAGAUGGGAUUAGCUAGUAGGUGGGGUAACGGCUCACCUAGGCGACGAUCCCUAGCUGGUCUGAGAGGAUGACCAGCCACACUGGAACUGAGACACGGUCCAG
rnacentral:rRNA from 1 species